rnacentral:rRNA from 1 species
GAUGAACGCUAGCUACAGGCUUAACACAUGCAGGUCGAGGGGCAUCAGGAAGAAAGCUUGCUUUCUUUGCUGGCGACCGGCGCACGGGUGAGUAACACGUAUCCAACCUGCCCUUUACUCGGGGAUAGCCUUUCGAAAGAAAGAUUAAUACCCGAUAGCAUAAUGAUUCCGCAUGGUUUCAUUAUUAAAGGAUUCCGGUAAAGGAUGGGGAUGCGUUCCAUUAGGUUGUUGGUGAGGUAACGGCCCACCAAGCCUUCGAUGGAUAGGGGUUCUGAGAGGAAGGUCCCCCACAUUGGAACUGAGACACGGUCCAAACUCCUACGGGAGGCAGCAGUGAGGAAUAUUGGUCAAUGGGCGUUAGCCUGAACCAGCCAAGUAGCGUGAAGGAUGAAGGCUCUAUGGGUCGUAAACUUCUUUUAUAUAAGAAUAAAGUGCAGUAUGUAUACUGUUUUGUAUGUAUUAUAUGAAUAAGGAUCGGCUAACUCCGUGCCAGCAGCCGCGGUAAUACGGAGGAUCCGAGCGUUAUCCGGAUUUAUUGGGUUUAAAGGGAGCGUAGGUGGACUGGUAAGUCAGUUGUGAAAGUUUGCGGCUCAACCGUAAAAUUGCAGUUGAUACUGUCAGUCUUGAGUACAGUAGAGGUGGGCGGAAUUCGUGGUGUAGCGGUGAAAUGCUUAGAUAUCACGAAGAACUCCGAUUGCGAAGGCAGCUCACUGGACUGCAACUGACACUGAUGCUCGAAAGUGUGGGUAUCAAACAGG